rnacentral:rRNA from 1 species
UUACGAGAGUUUGAUCCUGGCUCAGGAUGAACGCUGGCGGCGUGCCUAACACAUGCAAGUCGAGCGAAGCGCUGUUUUCAGAAUCUUCGGAGGAAGAGGACAGUGACUGAGCGGCGGACGGGUGAGUAACGCGUGGGCAACCUGCCUCAUACAGGGGGAUAACAGUUAGAAAUGACUGCUAAUACCGCAUAAGCGCACAGGACCGCAUGGUGUAGUGUGAAAAACUCCGGUGGUAUGAGAUGGACCCGCGUCUGAUUAGGUAGUUGGUGGGGUAA